GAUGAACGCUGGCGGCGUGCCUAAUACAUGCAAGUCGAGCGAAGCGGGGACGGGUGAGUAACACGUUAAUAACCUCCUAUAAGACUGGGAUAACUGGGGAAAACCGGAGCAAGAACGGAUACGUAUAGAUGGAUCAGCGCUGCAUUAGGUAGUUGGUAAAGUAACGGGUGACCAGGGCAACGAUGCAUGGCCGACCUGAGAGGGCGAUCGGCCACACUGGAACUGAGACACGGUCCAGACUCCUACGGCAGGCAGCAGUAGGGAAUCUUCCGCAAUGGGCGAAAGCCUGACGGAGCAACGCCGCGUACGUGAUGAAGGUCUUCGGAUCGUAAAACUCUGUUAUUAGGGAAGCGGUACCUAAUCAGAAAGCCACGGCUAACUACGUGCCAGCAGCCGCGGUAAUUC
rnacentral:rRNA from 1 species